CCCAAAGUGCUGGAAUUACAGGCGUGAGCCACCGUGCCCGGCCCUUUAAACAUUUGAGAGAAAUGAAAUGUAUCAUUUCAUCAAUAUCCAUCUCUAGAAAGAAUGUAGAUAUACAAAAGAAGAGCUUUUUACUGGGAAGAGCUGGGCUAAAGAAGGACACCAUCCAGAGAAAUUACUUUUAAAAAAAUACCAUAAAGCAACCAAAUGAUGCUUUGAUUAAGAAAAUAGCCCGAAGACAGAUUUGCAUCCUAUGCAAUGCCUCUGGAACUGCUCCCGUCCAUUCUGGAACAACCUGUUAUCAGAAAGUCUAGAAAUAGAAAUGACUAAUGUCUAUCUUACAUUGUGCCUAUUAACCCUCAAGUCACCCCAAAAGUGGGGGUGGUGCAAGUUAGAACCAUUUAUUGAAAGUGGCCUACAGGCAGAGUGCUGGACUCUGGGGGAGGAAAAAGAAAUCUGGCACAGUCUUGGCACUGUUAUAUGUGUAAGAACAUGGACAGAGCAGCCUCUUCAAUCAAUCAGAACUGGACAGAUAGAUAGACACUCAAGAGCGGGGCAAUGGAAAGAAAGAGGGAAGUAGGGGGAACUAUGAAAGUACCUUAGUUGGGGUAACCUGAGAAGGAGAAAUAGAGGCUGGGCCCUGGAUGGCUUUCCCUUUGCCUCUCAGCAAAUCUAAAGGAAGAACACAGGGAGGCUUGACCAUUGACUUACUGUAUGCCUGGGAAUAUGUUCUUUCUAAAUGAAAGGUGUUGCUUUACAGGGGAGGUGGUAGGUGAUUUGCCAGAAAUGCGAGGCAUGGUAGGAUAGGGGCAAGCUGGGAUUCUGACAAUAAGUGUGAGUUUAAAGCCAGAGAGCUGAUGGACUGGGUUUUGCUAUCAGUUCAGCCAUUUUAAGUCAUGUCAAUGAAUUUCUCUCCACCCAUAUGGAAAUGGGCCACGAGAUCUGGAGUCUGCGAUCUGGUUAUAGGACCCAGGACAGCGCUGCUCUGCUUCAGCUGAAUGGCCCCUAAGCUGUUAUGCAAGACUUGGGGUCUCUGAGCCGAUGGGAUCAUCCUGCAGGAAGCCUGGCACCCCUCUUCUUGAGGGAAUGCACUUCUGGUGGUGGAGUAUGGAUCUUGGCUGGGGACUGGGCCUGUGUGUGGUGCAGGGAAGCAAAGGGCUUCUGGCUUGCCUCUGCUGGUGCCUGGGGAGGAAGCUCUGGGUCCCAGACUCCCCAUAUGGCCAUCAGAGUUAUGAAGGUGGCACCAGGCAGAGUUGGUGCAGGACAGUGUGGAACCCCAGGGUUUCUAACUGGAGAAGCCAGGGGGCCUGAAACUCAGACCUUCUCCAGCCCCAUAUGGUAUGGAAGACUCUGACUCUUGAGAGAAUGAUGGAGGUGGGGGCACAGGUAAACAGCACCCUCCUCAGUAACAUCAUAGCCAGGGGAUACUCUGGGUUCAGUGCCAUUCUGACUACCAUGAAGCAGUACUGGGAGUGUUAGCGCAUGAGCUCCGAACCAAGACUACAAGACUAGCCUUAGACGUUUCUGUGCCUCAGUUUCUCAUCUGUAAAUUGGGGUUAUAAUAUUACCUAUUUUACAUUAUUGUAAAGAUUAAAUGAGCUUAUAGUUGUAAAACACAAAGAACAAUGUCUUCUGGAAAAUAAGUGCUCAAAAAAUGUGAAUUAUUUAUAUUAUUAAAAGUGUCUUUGAAUAAUU